AUUCACUAUUCAUGCUGUCGAACAAUUUUCGAAAACCAUGCGAAACGACACGGCGAUAAACGAGAGAGCAGAAUUUGAUGUUAAUAAACGGAACAAUAAUAAAACGUGACCGACAUUCAUACGCCGCCACGUUGUAGUUCGUUGAUUUUUCGUGCGAAUUCUGUCAAAAAAAUACCGCGGUGAGGACACGCCACACAUCCGAUUUUAUGGGAUUUAGGGUUGAAAAAUUUGGCCGUACCGUGUGAUUACAAAAGUACAAAACAAGAAAACCGCGAGUUUGAGAGGAAAUCGAAUGGAAUAA